UACGAAGGGGGCUAGCGUUGUUCGGAAUUACUGGGCGUAAAGCGCACGUAGGCGGAUUUGUAAGUCAGGGGUGAAAUCCCGAGGCUCGACCUCGGAACUGCCUUUGAUACUGCAAAUCUCGAGUCCGGAAGAGGUGAGUGGAAUUCCUAGUGUAGAGGUGAAAUUCGUAGAUAUUAGGAAGAACACCAGUGGCGAAGGCGGCUCACUGGUCCGGUACUGACGCUGAGGUGCGAAAGCGUGGGGAGCAAACAGG
rnacentral:rRNA from 1 species